rnacentral:rRNA from 1 species
CUACGGGAGGCUGCAGUCGAGAAUCUUCGGCAAUGGACGAAAGUCUGACCGAGCGACGCCGCGUGCGGGAUGAAGGCCUUCGGGUUGUAAACCGCUGUCAGUUGGGAGGAAAUCACAUGGGGUUCUCCCCAUGUGUUGACCUAUCUUCAGAGGAAGGACGGGCUAAGUUCGUGCCAGCAGCCGCGGUAAGACGAACCGUCCCAACGUUAUUCGGAAUCACUGGGCUUAAAGGGUGCGUAGGCGGUGCUGUAAGUUGGGUGUGAAAUCCCUCGGCUCAACCGAGGAAUUGCGCCCAAUACUGCAGUACUAGAGGGAGACAGAGGUGAGCGGAACUUGUGGUGGAGCGGUGAAAUGCGUUGAUAUCACAAGGAACACCUGUGGCGAAAGCGGCUCACUGGGUCUCUUCCGACGCUGAGGCACGAAAGCUGGGGGAGCGAACGGGAUUAGAUACCCCAGUAGUC